CGUAAAAUUUGGCUAUUUCAGCACCUUCUUCCCUACUCCGGUUCGCCCGUGAUGUCGACGGUGUGUACCUGAUGUCAAAGCUAUUUAACUUGGUUCCAGCAACCAAAGACGAGUGGUUAGAGAUUUCAGCAGCCUUUAAUCAACUGUGGCAAUUCCCGCACACCCUGGGUGCUUUAGACGGAAUAUCUAUAUAUAUAUCCGCAUUAAAGCCCCAGCGAAUACUGGAUCCCAAUUCUACAAUUUUAAAGUGUUUUAUAGUACCGUGCUAUUUGCAUUGGUAGACGCACAUGGCAGAUUCCUCUUUACGGAUGUGGGCUGUAAUGGGACAGCUUCAGACAGUACAAUCUACCAAGAUGGUCAGCUCUACAGAUGCCUACAAGAGUGUUCGCUUAACAUUCCCGAACCAACACAAUUAGUUGCCGAGUAGUGAUGUGCUGAAUUGUCGGUACCCAAUACUCGGUACCCAAUAUUUGAAGAAAAUUUCGGUACCCGAUACCGAUUCGAUACAUUAAACCUUCCUCAUUACAUAUAGGUACACUUGUUGGCAGCCUAUUAAGUUUAGUCACAUUUUUUAUAAAAGUCUAGCACACAACAUAACCA